rnacentral:lncRNA from 1 species
GUACAUAGUUGGUUUAAAAUAUCAACCUCCUUCACGUUAGGGGCCAACGAGUAGACUGCAAGUGCCUCUCAGCUGUACCUCUCCAUUUAGUUUAUCUACUAUCUGUAAUAACUCUCUAUCCCUAAUUGAAUCCAAAAGGCCUCCAAGGAAAAGUAAUUUGUUGUCACAACAAAAAGGAAACAUUCAUUGAGUGCUACUAGGUCAGAAGCUCUUUGAAACACUAUCAUGUGCUUAAUCUCCCCAAACCCCAAAACACAGACUUUUUUUUCCUGUUUUCUUGAUGAGGAAACUGAGGCUCAGAGAACUUAAGUGACUUGCCUAAAGUCACACAGAUAUCUAGCAGUAGAGUUAGGACUUAGACCGGGAUUUUAUGAUCGACCUUGACUAUCCUCUGCCUGUUUUCUUCUUUCCUUUUUCCGUUUUUUUUCCUUCCACACCUCUUGGCUUUGGUGAGGAGCAGCUGGCCCUUUGGGAGUUCUGCCAAUUAGAGGGUGCCGUAACUUCUGCGAGCACAUUGACAAGCCUGUCACUGGGAGGGUGCUUCUUUUUCUGCUGGAGAGAGAGACAUUUUGCUUUUUCUUUUCUUGGUUACUUCCAGAUUUGAAGCCAUUCUGAAUGCCGAAAGGCCAGCUAGUCUAAAGAAGAUUGAGGGGCCGGCCUGGUGGCACAGCGGUUAAGCGUGCAUGUUCCGCUUUGGCAGCCCGGGGUUCACUAGUUCGGAUCCUGGUGUGGACACGGCACCACUCGGCAAGCCAUGCUGUGAACAAUCAUCACCAAAAAAGAGUGAUAAGCAGAUUAAUCCAGCAUUCAUACACAGAUACACACAUACAUAUAUAAUUAUUUAAUGAAAUAAACAUGUUUGAAAUUGUUAACUGUUUUAUUUAUGUAUGUUAAAUAUCUUUUUAAAAUUAAUGAAUUAUUUCAGCCACAUCAACUUGAGACCUCCGAAUAUAAAGUUUUUCAGCCACUGUGGCCUGACUGCUCCCAACAGGGCCCAGUGUAGAGUCAUCAGAGCCGCAGCUCCUGUCCAUAGUGCUGGGAGCAAGCCCAGGAUGGCAGGACUGGAGUUCAGGGCCGGCUGUGUGCGGCCGGAUGUGAGGCUUCACUGUCUAGUCUAGGGGGGGUGCGGCUGCCAGUCCCAGAAGUCCAGAGAGGAGAGGGGGCAAGCGCCAGUUGUCUCGCCAGGCUUUCCAUCGUUCUCUCUGGAUCCCACACUAGAGAACAGAGGGGACACGACCCCCCAGGGACUGGGGCUGCAGGAAUAGAGCACAGAGUGAC